rnacentral:rRNA from 1 species
UACGUAGGUGGCAAGCGUUUCCGGAAUUAUUGGGCGUAAAGCGCGCGCAGGCGGCCUCCUAAGUCCGAUGUGAAAGCCCACGGCUCAACCGUGGAGGAUCAUUGGAAACUGGGGGACUUGAGUGCAGGAGAGAAGAGUGGAAUUCCACGUGUAGCGGUGAAAUGCGUAGAGAUGUGGAGGAACACCUGUGGCGAAGGCGGCUUUCUGGGCCUUACCUGACGCUGAGACGCGAAAGCGUGGGGAGCGAACCGG